GACGAACGCUGGCGGCGUGCUUAACACAUGCAAGUCGAACGAAGUGGCGAACGGGUGAGUAAUACGUGGGUAACCUGCCCUCCUUUUUGGGAUAAGCCUUGGUAACGGGGUCUAAUACCGAAUAAAGGGGGAUGGGGUCGCGUCCUAUCGGCUUGUUGGGGGGGUGAUGGCCUACAAAGGCGGUGACGGGUAGCCGGCCUGGGAGGGGGACCGGCCACAAUGGGAGUUAGAUACGGCCAAGAGUCCUACGGGAGGCAGCAGUUGGGGAUAUUGCGCAAUGGGCGAAAGCCUGAUGCAGCGACGCCACGUGGGGGAUGAAGGCUUUCGGGUUGUAAACCUCUGUCGCUAUCGAGCGGGUAGGUGGAGAAGAAGCGCCGGCUAACUACGUGCCAGCCGCCGCGGUAAUUC
rnacentral:rRNA from 1 species